UAAUUAAAUUGAACUGAAUUAAUUUGAAUUUUGUCUAUUUUUUUAAUAUUGAUCUUGAUUUAAUUCAUUUUUUUUAAGAAAUUUCAGUUGUUCAAUUUGGUUUAAUUCAUUUGAUCAAAAAAUCCAACUACCUGAACCGAUUAAAAUUUAAAACCCAUAAAUGAGCUUAAGCGUAAGUGUUAACCCAAACAUAGUCCCAUGUUUGCCUAGCCUCAAUAGGCCUUGCCAUAGUGUUAAGUCUCCAUCUUCAGUUG
rnacentral:misc_RNA from 1 species